CAAAAAAUCCGUCCCAGUCCGGAUUGCAGUCUGCAACUCGACUGUAUGAAGUCGGAAUCGCUAGUAAUCCCGGAUCAGCAUGCCGGGGUGAAUACGUUCCCGGGCCUUGUACACACCGCCCGUCACACCACGAAAGCUGGUUCUACCCGAAGUCGCCGAGCUAACCCUCGGGAGGCAGGCGCCGACGGUAGGGCUGGUGAUUGGGGUGAAGUCGUAACAAGGUAGCCGUAGGGGAACCUGCGGCUGGAUCACCUCCUUUAA
rnacentral:rRNA from 1 species